rnacentral:rRNA from 1 species
GCGGAGCUCGCUCCCGGGGCUACCCUACUCCGGUAGGGUUUAGAGUCGUCGGGCCUCUCGAAGAAGCUCGGUCCUGAACUCCACCCUUGAAUAAACUACCUUUGUUGCUUUGGCGGGCCGCCUCGUGCCAGCGGCUUCGGCUGUUGAGUGCCCGCCAGAGGACCACAACUCUUGUUUUUAGUGAUGUCUGAGUACUAUAUAAUAGUUAAAACUUUCAACAACGGAUCUCUUGGUUCUGGCAUCGAUGAAGAACGCAGCGAAAUGCGAUAAGUAAUGUGAAUUGCAGAAUUCAGUGAAUCAUCGAAUCUUUGAACGCACAUUGCGCCCUCUGGUAUUCCGGGGGGCAUGCCUGUUCGAGCGUCAUUAUAACCACUCAAGCUCUCGCUUGGUCUUGGGGUUCGCGGUUCCGCGGCCCCUAAAAUCAGUGGCGGUGCCUGUCGGCUCUACGCGUAGUAAUACUCCUCGCGAUUGAGUCCGGUAGGUCUACUUGCCAGCAACCCCCAAUUUUUUUAAGGUUGACCUCGGAUCAGGUAGGGAUACCCGCUGAACUUAAGCAUAUCAAUAAGCGGAGGAA